CUCCGCAGGACUACAGGACUGUCGUCAUCCUUCCCGGGCUCAGAUCCUCGCUGAUAGGACCUCGGGCACAUGACUUAACCUUUCUGGGCCUGUCUCCUCCUUUAGAAAAUAGUUAUAACACCUCAUCGGACUGAAGAGUAGAUGAGUGACAGGAGAAGACAUCUACAAAGAGGAUCUGACACGUACCAAGGCAUAAAGUGGUUACGCCGCUCUAGAAAGAAUAAUGCCUGCCCGCCCUAACGAGGACUUUGAGAUCUGGAGGAGAAACCUUACCUGUUCUCUGCCCCUGACUGCUGUCUGAAGGUAGCACUGAAAGACGAAAGAUUCAUUCACCUGGUCCCUUCCACUCUUCUCCCUCGGCAUCCACACACCCUAUCCUCCUAACAGAACCCCAGCGAAGAGCUGACCUACCGAGUCUCUCUCUCUCCCUCUCUCUCCCUCUCUCUCUCUCUCUCUCUCUCUCUCUCUCUCUCUCUCUCUCUCUCUCUCUCACACACACACAAACACACACCCUCUGGGGAAUAACUUAGCACUCUGAUUUGAGUGGCUGCAUAAAUUAGCAUAUCAAGUGUUAAUACAAAUACCCCGUUGUCCAGCAGGGGGUGUUCCACC